rfam:Myotis davidii contig229666, whole genome shotgun sequence.
CGUGCACCAGUGGGGUCCCUCAGCCUGGACUGUGCCUUCUCACAAUCCAGGACCCCUAGGGGGAUGUCGGAAAGCCGGUUUCAGCCUGAUCCUGCAGGCCAGGCUGAGGGAUCCCACUGGUGCACA